rnacentral:rRNA from 1 species
CCUACGGGAGGCAGCAGUGGGGAAUAUUGCGCAAUGGGCGGAAGCCUGACGCAGCGACGCCGCGUGAGGGAUGACGGCCUUCGGGUUGUAAACCUCUUUCAGCUCUGACGAAGCGUGAGUGACGGUAGGAGCAGAAGAAGCACCGGCCAACUACGUGCCAGCAGCCGCGGUAAUACGUAGGGUGCAAGCGUUGUCCGGAAUUAUUGGGCGUAAAGAGCUCGUAGGCGGUUUGUCGCGUCGAAUGUGAAAACCCGGGGCUCAACCCCGGGCCUGCAUUCGAUACGGGCAGACUAGAGUUCGGUAGGGGAGUCUGGAAUUCCUGGUGUAGCGGUGAAAUGCGCAGAUAUCAGGAGGAACACCGGUGGCGAAGGCGGGACUCUGGGCCGAUACUGACGCUGAGGAGCGAAAGCGUGGGGAGCGAACAGGAUUAGAUACCCUGGUAGUCCACGCCGUAAACGUUGGGCGCUAGGUGUGGGGUUCCUUCCACGAACUCCGUGCCGCAGCUAACGCAUUAAGCGCCCCGCCUGGGGAGGUACGGCCGCGAGACGAAACGUACGAAGGAAGUAGUAACGGCGUGAGACGUGCCGACGGACGACGACGAGGGAGGAGG